UUUUUAAAUAUAAUGUUACAAUUUUCAUACAAUAUUAUUAUUCUGUGUUUUUUGCAGAAGGCAUGGCACGUUUUAGCUGAUGAUGAAUUGGGAUGCUGUCCGAGUGAUGAUUGAAACGAUGGGCAUCUGGCCCUCAGGCGUCUGUUUUCUGGAACUGAUGUGACUGGGGAGGAGUCAGUCACUGCACUGGGGCCAACCAGGAAAUUGGGAGAAAUUGAGAGUCUUGGAUGUGCCUGUUUGAAGCUCUGAAGUUGGGUGUCCUGAAACCUAAAAUUGUUCGUGAUUACUUGCUCCUAUUGGUUUAAAAAACUCAACAAUAUUCUAUUUUCCCACUAACUGGUACGUAUUUGGGCACAUUCUCAUAUCUCUCUGGUUCCCUCAUUCCUCCCAUCAAGUUACUAUUGUCUGAAAUUCUAGCUGUGGGUUGUAAUGGGUAUUGUCUUUCUCCCAUUUUCUCUUUUUUAUCAGCUGUUACUCCUGAUAGAAUCCUGUUGAUACCAGUGUCCUGGACUGUUGCUGCUGACUUGGAGAAGGAGCAGGCGAGGAUUGUCUCAGGAUAUCUCAAGGAGAAAAACAGAGCACAACUCCUCUGAGAAAGGAAGGCCUGAACGGAGCAGAACCUUCCUUGGAACUGGUUUUAUGGCUUUGAAGGUGUCAGAAAGAAAGCCACGGGCAGUGCAGAAUGCUUGUCUUAGAGGCCACUGUAGCCAUGGCAAUGGUGAAGUAGCUGCUCAACUAGUUUAGGAGAAGAGGAGGACAACGAGAAGAUAGGAAUGGAAAGAUAUUGACAACUUUUUUUUCCGGAAUAUGUGAGAAAUCUCCUGGGAAUUCCCUUCCAAAAAACUGAUGUGUGGGGGAGGUGACUAUAGGUAGGACAUCUCCCCUGGAGUUCUGCAGCUAUGCAGAACUAUUCAAUUUGUGAAGUUUGAAUAUUCUUAUAUCAUUAUCCUAGCAUAUAUUAGGUAUCUUCUAAUUACUCUCUGUAUAUACUUUUUCUCCUUCCCUUCAACCUUCUGCAACUAGAUUGAAGCCUCUGAGAAGUGCAGGAUGCUUCGUGACCUUACUGACUUAUGUCCCGUGCCUGGCACAUAAUCAUGUGUCCUUAAUAAAUAUUUGUUGAAGUUGUACUAAAACUGAAGU
rnacentral:lncRNA from 12 species